rnacentral:misc_RNA from 1 species
CAGGAACGUGCUAAUCCUUGUAGCCAAACAGUUGGCUCAUUGACGCGCAGCAGAACGAAACCAUGAAAGUGAGGUGAGAAAAAUACAGGAAGAUAAACGAGAGAAGAAGGAAAAGAGAAGAAAGCAAAAUGGGAGGAGGAAUGGAGACUAACAAGAAUAGGUUCAUAGAGGAGUGGAGCAGUGCUCGUGAGAAUCUCGAGUACAACUUCCGCUGGACUCGACGCAACUUCGCCCUCGUUGGCUUAUUCGGCAUCGCAGUUCCUAUCUUCAUCUACAAGGGCAUCGUCAAAGAAUUCAAUAUGCAAGAUGAAGAUGCAGGCAGGCCAUACAGGAAGUUCCUUUGACUUUCUUCUUUAAAUUGCUAGGCAAUCGAUAAUAAUUGCACCAAAAGUAAAACUGGUUUUCCAUUAGGACCCCUUUUACCAUAUCUGGGAAUUGCUUAUUUUUCUUUGUUGAUCUAUGAUGUUGUGUUUUUUGAAGUCUGCCAAUCUGCUGAGAAUUCUGUAUGGUUUGCUAUAAUCAUCUUUGAUUCA